UGUGAACUAAGCAUAUCAAUAAGCGGAGGAAAAGAAACUAACAAGGAUUCCCCUAGUAACUGCGAGUGAAGCGGGAAAAGCUCAAAUUUAAAAUCUGGUGGUCUUUGGCCAUCCGAGUUGUAAUUUAGAGAAGCGUCUUCCGCGCUGGACCAUGCACAAGUCUCCUGGAAUGGAGCGUCAUAGAGGGUGAGAAUCCCGUCUUUGGCAUGGACCCCCAGGGCUUCUGUGAUGCGCUCUCAAAGAGUCGAGUUGUUUGGGAAUGCAGCUCAAAAUGGGUGGUGAACUCCAUCUAAAGCUAAAUAUUGGCGAGAGACCGAUAGCGAACAAGUACCGUGAGGGAAAGAUGAAAAGCACUUUGGAAAGAGAGUGAAACAGUACGUGAAAUUGUUGAAAGGGAAACGCUUGAAGUCAGUCGCGUCGGCUGAGACUCAACCUUGCCUCGGCUUGGUGUACUUCUCAGCUGACGGGUCAGCAUCAAUUUUGAUCCUUGGAUAAUGGCAAGGGAAAGGUAGCACCUUUACAGGUGUGUUAUAGUCCUCUGUCGAAUGCAAGGGUUGGGAUUGAGGAACUCAGCACGCGCCUUGUCGGUGUCGGGGCCUUUUGGCCUACGUACGUGCUUAGGAUGCUGGCAUAAUGGCUUUAAACGACCCGUCUUGAAACACGGACCAAGGAGUCUAACAUGCACGCGAGUGUUCGGGUGGAAAACCCGUGCGCGUAAUGAAAGUAAAAGUUGGGACCUCUGUCGUGGAGGGCACCGACGCCCGGACCAGACCUUCUGUGACGGCUCUGCGGUAGAGCGUGUAUGUUGGGACCCGAAAGAUGGUGAACUAUGCCUGAAUAGGGUGAAGCCAGAGGAAACUCUGGUGGAGGCUCGUAGCGAUUCUGACGUGCAAAUCGAUCGUCAAAUUUGGGUAUAGGGGCGAAAGACUAAUCGAACCAUCUAGUAGCUGGUUCCUGCCGAAUUUCCCCCUC
rnacentral:rRNA from 1 species